AGAUUGAACGCUGGCGGCAUGCCUUACACAUGCAAGUCGAACGGCAGCACGGGAGCAAUCCUGGUGGCGAGUGGCGAACGGGUGAGUAAUAUAUCGGAACGUGCCCAGUCGUGGGGGAUAACGCAGCGAAAGCUGUGCUAAUACCGCAUACGAUCUCUGGAUGAAAGCGGGGGACUCGUAAGAGCCUCGCGCGAUUGGAGCGGCCGAUAUCAGAUUAGCUAGUUGGUGGGGUAAAAGCUCACCAAGGCGACGAUCUGUAGCUGGUCUGAGAGGACGACCAGCCACACUGGAACUGAGACACGGUCCAGACUCCUA
rnacentral:rRNA from 1 species